UGGGGAAUUUUGGACAAUGGGGGAAACCCUGAUCCAGCCAUCCCGCGUGUGCGAUGAAGGCCUUCGGGUUGUAAAGCACUUUUGGCAGGAAAGAAACGUCAUGGGUUAAUACCCCGUGAAACUGACGGUACCUGCAGAAUAAGCACCGGCUAACUACGUGCCAGCAGCCGCGGUAAUACGUAGGGUGCAAGCGUUAAUCGGAAUUACUGGGCGUAAAGCGUGCGCAGGCGGUUCGUAAAGAAAGAUGUGAAAUCCCAGAGCUCAACUUUGGAACUGCAUUUUUAACUACCGGGCUAGAGUGUGUCAGAGGGAGGUGGAAUUCCGCGUGUAGCAGUGAAAUGCGUAGAUAGGCGGAGGAACACCGAUGGCGAAGGCAGCCUCCUGGGAUAACACUGACGCUAAUGCACGAAAGCGGGGGGAGCAAACAGG
rnacentral:rRNA from 1 species